GACGAACGCUGGCGGCGUGCCUAAUACAUGCAAGUCGAACGCUUCUUUUUCCACCGGAGCUUGCUCCACCGGAAAAAGAGGAGUGGCGAACGGGUGAGUAACACGUGGGUAACCUGCCCAUCAGAAGGGGAUAACACUUGGAAACAGGUGCUAAUACCGUAUAACAAUCGAAACCGCAUGGUUUUGAUUUGAAAGGCGCUUUCGGGUGUCGCUGAUGGAUGGACCCGGGGUGCAUUAGCUAGGUGGUGAGGUAACGGCUCACCAAGGCCACGAUGCAUAGCCGACCUGAGAGGGUGAUCGGCCACAUUGGGACUGAGACACGGCCCAAACUCCUACGGGAGGCAGCAGUAGGGAAUCUUCGGCAAUGGACGAAAGUCUGACCGAGCAACGCCGCGUGAGUGAAGAAGGUUUUCGGAUCGUAAAACUCUGUUGUUAGAGAAGAACAAGGAUGAGAGUAACUGUUCAUCCCUUGACGGUAUCUAACCAGAAAGCCACGGCUAACUACGUGCCAGCCGCCGCAGUAA
rnacentral:rRNA from 1 species